rnacentral:sRNA from 1 species
UUCUGAACCGCGCAUCACUCUUGACCUUCAACCUGAGGGAUAAAUUACUCUUCUUACUGCUUGCCCUUGAGAUUGACACUUUUUCGGGCCAUACGUUGAGACCAUUUAUCAGAGAAUUAAUAAGCUUUAGGAAAUGCUUGGAUCUUUGAGGGUUGGGAGAAAUUCGAUAUCAUAUUCCACCACUAGAAUUUACCAUAUACUCUGAGAAAUAUGAAAAUGGGAGAUCGAAAUCGCCUUUGGAAAACUAAAUACAGAGGUCAGCACCCUUGAGGGAGACAACCCCCCACAAAAGAUAGUUGUAAUUUAAGCGAACAGGCCGCCUUGACAGAGUCCCAUAUGCUGCUAGCAGCUUUGAGGAAAGCGAAUCCAUCAGAAGUGAACCCUUGCGAAAGGACACAAUGUAAAUGGACAGGAGGUUAGGGUAGUCUGAGUAUUCAUCAAAAAAAAAUAUAACAAAGGGCAU